rnacentral:tRNA from 1 species
GCCGGCGUGGUGGAAUGGCAGACGCGCCGGACUCAAAAUCCGGUGGGCGCAAGCCCGUGUGGGUUCAACUCCCACCGCCGGCACCA